AGUGAACGCUGGCGGUAGGCCUAACAAAUGCAAGUCGAACGGCAGCACAGUAAGAGCUUGCUCUUACGGGUGGCGAGUGGCGGACGGGUGAGGAAUACAGCGGAAUCUACUUUUUCGUGGGGGAUAACGUAGGGAAACUUACGCUAAUACCGCAUACGACCUACGGGUGAAAGCAGGGGAUCUUCGGACCUUGCGCGAUUGAAUGAGCCGAUGUCGGAUUAGCUAGUUGGCGGGGUAAAGGCCCACCAAGGCGACGAUCCGUAGCUGGUCUGAGAGGAUGAUCAGCCACACUGGAACUGAGACACGGUCCAGACUCCUACGGGAGGCAGCAGUGGGGAAUAUUGGACAAUGGGCGCAAGCCUGAUCCAGCCAUACCGCGUGGGUGAAGAAGGCCUUCGGGUUGUAAAGCCCUUUUGUUGGGAAAGAAAAGCAGCAGGUUAAUACCCCGCUGUUCUGACGGUACCCAAAGAAUAAGCACCGGCUAACUUCGUG
rnacentral:rRNA from 1 species